UAGUGUUCUAGGCUUACCGUACGUUUCCGCUUCUGCGGACCAUGGGUAGGAGUGCAAGCAUCGGAGCAAACCGCUCUUCUCACAACCGUGUCUGGAUCUUCCGGGGUUGAUGAAAGGAAAGUCCGGCAGGGGGCGCUUUUUCGUCAUGGGCCAGAACACUCCCCAGGCCCAGAAUGAGAAGAAGCUCAACAAGCCAGCCGGUCUUCUACACGAGAUCAGUUGUUCAAAUGUAAAGAAUCCGAGUCAAGACUGAAGGCAACCUCUUCAGGUCAUUGUUGACGUGAAGAAACAGAAUUGCGGAGCUGAACCGAGUCCCUCCUUCCUGGAGCCGAUGGGCAUUCCGCCAAGGUUCAGGCUCUGAUUGCAAAAGAAACCAAGAAGGAAGGGACAUCCAGGGUAAAAGGAUCCUUUUUCAACCCCCCGCCCCCAGAGGUCCCACCUGCCACGAUCUUUUCCGGAAUCCUGGUGUCGGAGAAGGUGCUGCGAGACUGAAGAAAGAGGACGACAGGUUCAGAUCUGCACAAGGUGUGACUUUUAGGCACAGAACCGUCUUGGGUAGCAGCAAGACAAGGCGCACCCCGGACUCGGGCAGGAGGGGGGACUGAUCUGCUGAGCUAGACAAAGGGGGCCUUGUCUGUCUAGGAAACAGUGGGGCGUCGGGGUGUCACACGAAUCCUUGUAUUCUGUAGAGUUUGGAAUGCGUACCAGGGUCACCUAACCAGCAGAGUGGCAGUUGCACCCCAGAUGACUUAGUCAGGUCAAGCUAGAUGCCUACAAAGUCACUUACUAGCGGCUGCUACUCUGCGAGGCCCAAGGCCCGGGUGACCGUCCACGCAGAUGCCGGGCAACGCGGUGCCGCGGGGCCCAGGAGCCUCAGCCCCGCGGGUUGUGCGCCUCUUCUCUGGGCCCAGAGGAACGUGCCUGCGGCUGCGCCCAGGACGGUCCCUAGCGCUGGAAGACGGUCGGCUGCGUCGCGUCGCACCGAAGCCACGGCCGUCCCUGUCCUUCGCGCGGUCUGUGCCAUCAGGCCUGCUCGGGUCACGCGGACGGCUCCGCUUCCACGCGGCUCUGGCAGCGCUCCUGGUGAUCAAAGAGGACGCGGCGGCCGGGGCGGCGAGUCGCCAGGCCUCCGCUCGGAGGUCGAGGCCGUCGGGGAGGAGGCGCGGCGGGCGGCGAGAGGGGAAACCAGGCUCGUGGCCUUUUCCGUGCUCACGCACACCCGAGGUCCCCGCUCCUGCCCCUUCCUCCGCCUCUCCAG